rnacentral:rRNA from 1 species
CCUACGGUAUGCUGCAGUGGGGAAUAUUGGACAAUGGGCGAAAGCCUGAUCCAGCCAUGCCGCGUGUGUGAAGAAGGCCUUCGGGUUGUAAAGCACUUUCAGUGGGGAAGAAAGCCUUGGGGCUAAUACCCUCGAGGAAGGACAUCACCCACAGAAGAAGCACCGGCUAACUCCGUGCCAGCAGCCGCGGUAAUACGGAGGGUGCGAGCGUUAAUCGGAAUUACUGGGCGUAAAGCGCGCGUAGGCGGUCUGAUAAGCCGGUUGUGAAAGCCCCGGGCUCAACCUGGGAACGGCAUCCGGAACUGUCAGGCUAGAGUGCAGGAGAGGAAGGUAGAAUUCCCGGUGUAGCGGUGAAAUGCGUAGAGAUCGGGAGGAAUACCAGUGGCGAAGGCGGCCUUCUGGACUGACACUGACGCUGAGGUGCGAAAGCGUGGGUAGCAAACAGGAUUACAUACCCCUGUAGUC